UACGGGGGGGGCAAGCGUUGUUCGGAAUUACUGGGCGUAAAGGGCUCGUAGGCGGCCAACUAAGUCGGACGUGAAAUCCCCAGGCUCAACCUGGGAACUGCGUCCGAUACUGGAUGGCUUGAAUCCGGGAGAGGGAUGCAGAAUUCCUGGUGUAGCGGUGAAAUGCGCAGAUAUCAGGAGGAACACCGAUGGCGAAGGCAGCUCGCUGGGACGGUACUGACGCUGAGGCGCGAAAGCGUGGGGAGCAAACAGG
rnacentral:rRNA from 1 species